UACGAAGGGUGCAAACGUUGCUCGGAAUUAUUGGGCGUAAAGCGCACGUAGGCGGCUUAGUAAGUUGGAUGUGAAAUCCCUCGGCUUAACCAAGGAAGUGCAUCCAAAACUACUGAGCUUGAGUACUAAAGAGGAUCGCGGAAUUCCCGGUGUAGAGGUGAAAUUCGUAGAUAUCGGGAGGAACACCAGUGGCGAAGGCGGCGAUCUGGGUAGAUACUGACGCUGAGGUGCGAAAAGCGUGGGGAGCGAACAGG
rnacentral:rRNA from 1 species